rnacentral:rRNA from 1 species
UCCCAGGCGGUUUGGAGGGGCGACCCAGCCCACAAUGGAAAUGGGAACCCGUUCCAGAUUCUUACGGGAGGCAGCAGUGGGGAAUUUUGCCCAAUGGGCGCAAGCCUGAAGCAGCCAUGCCGCGUGGGUGAAGAAGGCCUUCGGGUUGUACAGCACUUUCAGCGGGGAGGAAGGCGAUAAGGUUAAUAACCUUGUUGAUUGACGUUACCCGCAGAAGAAGCACCGGUUAAUUCCGUGCCAGCAGCCGCGGUAAUACGGAGGGUGCAAGCGUUAAUCGGAAUUACUGCGCGUAAAGCGCACGCAGGCGGUCCGUCAAGUCGGAUGUGAAAUCUCCGGGCUCAACCUGGGAACUGCAUUCGAAACUGGCAGGCUAGAGUCUUGUAGAGGCGGGUAGAAUUCCAGGUGUAGCGGUGAAAUGCGUAGAGAUCUGGAGGAAUACCGGUGGCGAAGGCGGCCCCCUGGACAAAGACUGACGCUCAGGUGCGAAAGCGUGGGGAGCAAACAGGAUUAGAUACCCUGGUAGUCCACGCCGUAAACGAUGUCGAUUUGGAGGUUGUGCCCUUGAGGCGUGGCUUCCGGAGCUAACGCGUUAAAUCGACCGCCUGGGGAGUACGGCCGCAAGGUUAAAACUCAAAUGAAUUGACGGGGGCCCGCACAAGCGGUGGAGCAUGUGGUUUAAUUCGAUGCAACGCGAAGAACCUUACCUGGUCUUGACAUCCACAGAACUUAGCAGAGAUGCUUUGGUGCCUUCGGGAACUGUGAGACAGGUGCUGCAUGGCUGUCGUCAGCUCGUGUUGUGAAAUGUUGGGUUAAGUCCCGCAACGAGCGCAACCCUUAUCCUUUGUUGCCAGCGGUUAGGCCGGGAACUCAAAGGAGACUGCCAGUGAUAAACUGGAGGAAGGUGGGGAUGACGUCAAGUCAUCAUGGCCCUUACGACCAGGGCUACACACGUGCUACAAUGGCAUAUACAAAGAGAAGCGACCUCGCGAGAGCAAGCGGACCUCAUAAAGUAUGUCGUAGUCCGGAUUGGAGUCUGCAACUCGACUCCAUGAAGUCGGAAUCGCUAGUAAUCGUAGAUCAGAAUGCUACGGUGAAUACGUUCCCGGGCCUUGUACACACCGCCCGUCACACCAUGGGAGUGGGUUGCAAAAGAAGUAGGUAGCUUAACCUUCGGGAGGGCGCUUACCCACUUGAUCCGGG